AUGCACUGUACAAAAGAGAAUUUUCAUGUUGCAAGAUUGGUCAUAUAAAAUGUUUAUUGCCAAUUAGCAAUAUAUCAGCUAUAAAAGAGGUCUUAAUUAGCCAUUUGAUAUGUACAAUUUCAAAGCAACUAUUGUAGCAGAGAUGCCAAAUAUUAGUGACAGAAUUCCAGGUACAUUGGUCAUAAAAGCUAAAAAAAGUAUUAUGGAAACGGUCUCAAAAAUAAUGACAACAUACCACGCAAGGACAAUCAGGACCAUCAAAAAGGAGCAGUGGUCUCAAAUUAAAGUUCACCAACAGAGAUCCUGGUUGAUGAACUCCAUAACAACAAAAAAGAGAAAAAUAGCAAAAUGAAUAGAAUUGAAACAGUACAUUUAUGUCCCAAUACCAACAGAAAAUGUACACCAAAAACAAAAACACACAAAUCAUGGAACCCGAAGUAAUUUAAAACAAUGUUUUCUUUUUUCCUACAUUUGAAUGUGAUUUAGACAUAUAUUGUUGAGUGUUUCCAUUAUUUUGUCCAUUUCUUGUAUAUUUUUUUUAUCCACACGAUCAGGUUUAAAAUUACUAAACUGAGAGUUGUGGAUAAGGAAUUGCAAAUUUUAGGCCAAAACAG